GGGGGUGAAAUGGUUUCGACGGGAAGUGUAGGUUUAAGGAGCAUGCCGAGGUUCGGUACCUCGUAAAACAGCCGAACCAUAAUAGUUGCAAACGACGAAUUUGCACUCGCUGCUGCGUAGAUAGCAGCGACGUCCUUGCAAAGUUUGCCUGUGACUUUGCAAAGGGCGCCAACCCAGCAGGCUGGCUCACUUUGAUGCCUCUAAAAAGUGAGUGAGACUUAAGAGGCUAACCAUUUCUUCCACCUGUCAGCGGGCAGAAGAAAUGGGACAUCUCAAACGCUGACUAAGCAUGUAGCCGCCUUAAAUUGAAACUUAACCGGACGCGGGUUCGAUUCCCGCCACCUCCAUUU
rfam:Flexistipes sinusarabici DSM 4947, complete genome.